UCCAGACUCCUACGGGAGGCAGCAGUGGGGGAUAUUGCACAAUGGGGGAAACCCUGAUGCAGCGACGCCGCGUGUGGGAAGACGGUCUUCUGGAUUGUAAACCACUGUCCCCAUGGACGAAAAUGACGGUACCUGUUUAUUAAGCUCCGUCUAACUACGUGCCAGCAGCCGCGGUAAUACGUAUGGAGCGAUCUUUGUCCGGAAUUACUGGGUGUAAAGGGAGCGUAGGCGGGGAUGCAAGUUGGGUGUCAAAACUACUGGCUCAACUGGUAGUCGCACUCAAAACUGCAGCUCUUGAGUGAAGUAGAGGCAGGCGGAAUUCCUAGUGUAGCGGUGAAAUGCGUAGAUAUUAGGAGGAACACCAGUGGCGAAGGCGGCCUGCUGGGCUUUUACUGACGCUGAGGCUCGAAAGUGUGGGGAGCAAACAGGAUUAGAUACCCGCGUA
rnacentral:rRNA from 1 species